UGGCUCCCUGUGACCGUGUUGUGAGCAAACCAUUCCUGGUAUCCCACCUUGCGGGUGAGGAGACUGCCUCCUAGCCGUGGGACAGCGUUCUAGGCACUUGGGAUACAUCAGUGGAAAAAACGAAUAAAUAGCCCUGCCUUCCUAGAGCUGACAUUGUAGGAAAGAAGGAAGAUGGAUAAUAAACAAUAGAUCAACAAAUAAGGAAAUGAAAUCGCAGGUUGGCAGGUGGUAAGUGCUACAGAAAAGAGGAAAAGUGGUGGGAAAGGUGGGAGUGUCAGGAGGGGGUGAAGUGGGUCAAACCUACAAUGGCCUGGCUAGAGAGUCUGCUAGUUUCCUGUUUCUCACCAAAGCAUCCAAAAGAUUCUUUAAGAUAAGACGUAGCAAGUAGCACCCUGUCCCUCCAGCCCAUGCAGUCAGCGGUUCUUUACUCUGAUGGAGGAAUCUACCUAACUCUGUAGCUACAACGGAGGCUUCAGCUGGUCCCACUAGGAGCUUGUAAGCCAGAUGGUCCACUUGAGGUUUCCCAAAUGUGGCAGGCAUCGGGGCAGCACAGCACCUCACCCACAAGAGGGAAGAAGACCCAUGGAGUGUGGUGAUGCACACAGAGUCUUCAGCAAAUUGCCUGGCCUAUAAGGAUGCUCGCCAGUGUGAUGGGAAGUUUUCUGAAAGGUAGUGCUCCCUCCUCCACGAAGCAUUUUCUUGACUUGACUUCCAGGAGCUCACAGACUCCUGGUUUCCCUCCUACCUCCCUGGCCACUGUUGCUGACUAUUGCAAAUGUG
rnacentral:lncRNA from 1 species